rnacentral:rRNA from 1 species
AUCGAACAGGAUUAGAUACCCUGGUAGUCCACGCCGUAAACGAUGAUCACUCGCUGUUAGCGAUAUACAGUUAGCGGCUAAGCAAAAGCAUUAAGUGAUCCACCUGGGGAGUACGGCCGCAAGGCUGAAACUCAAAGGAAUUGACGGGGGCCCGCACAAGCGGAGGAACAUGUGGUUUAAUUCGAUGAUACGCGAGGAACCUUACCUGGGCUUAAAUGUAGAGUGCAUGAGGUAGAAAUACUUCUUUUCUUCGGAACUCUCUGCAAGGUGCUGCAUGGUUGUCGUCAGCUCGUGCCGUGAGGUGUCGGGUUAAGUCCCAUAACGAGCGCAACCCUUAUCGUUAGUUGCCAGCGGGUAAUGCCGGGGACUCUAGCGAAACUGCCGGUGUAAACCGAGAGGAAGGUGGGGAUGACGUCAAAUCAGCACGGCCCUUAUGUCCAGGGCUACACACGUGUUACAAUGGCCGGUACAGAGGGCAGCUACCUGGAGACAGGAUGCGAAUCUCGAAAGCCGGUCUCAGUUCGGAUCGGAGUCUGCAACUCGACUCCGUGAAGCUGGAUUCGCUAGUAAUCGGGCAUCAGCCAUGGCGCGGGAAUACUGUCCC